rnacentral:ncRNA from 1 species
CGCCGAGGACGACUUCGGCGCUGACGCACACCGAGGGACGGCCCU